rnacentral:tRNA from 1 species
GGAGGAAUACCCAAGCGGCUGAAGGGGGCGGUUUCGAAAACCGCUAGUAGGUUCACACCUAGCAAGGGUUCAAAUCCCUUUUCCUCCGCCA